ensembl:misc_RNA Metazoa_SRP Metazoan signal recognition particle RNA
GCGGGGCGCGGUGGCGCAUGCCUGUAGUCCCAGCUACUCGGGAAGCUGAGGUAGAAGGAUCACUUAAGCCCAGGAGUUUGAGGUUGCUGUGAGCCAUGAUUGCAGCACUGCACUCCAACCUGGGCAACAGAGUGAGACUCCACCUCUA